rnacentral:tRNA from 1 species
GGGCCGGUGGUCUAGUGGUAUGACGCCGCCCUCACACGGCGGAGAUCGAGAGUUCAAUUCUCUCCCGGCCCA